rnacentral:tRNA from 4 species
GUCGGUGUGGCUCAGUUGGUUAGAGCGUUGGUCUCAUAGUAUGAUUUGACCCCAGGUCAGAGUAAUCCAAAGGUCGAGAGUUCGAGCCUCUCCACCGACA